rnacentral:rRNA from 1 species
CAGCAGCCGCGGGAAUACGAAGGGGGCUAGCGUUGCUCGGAAUGACUGGGCGUAAAGGGCGCGUAGGCGGAUGGCACAGUCAGAUGUGAAAUUCCCGGGCUUAACCUGGGGGCUGCAUUUGAUACGUGUUGUCUAGAGUGAGGAAGAGGGUUGUGGAAUUCCCAGUGUAGAGGUGAAAUUCGUAGAUAUUGGGAAAAACACCGGUGGCGAAGGCGGCAACCUGGUCCUUGACUGACGCUGAGGCGCGGAAGCGUGGGGAGCAAACAGGAUUAGAUACCCCGGUAGUCCCUGUCUCUUAUAC